UGGGGAAUAUUGCACAAUGGGCGAAAGCCUGAUGCAGCGACGCCGCGUGAGGGAUGACGGCCUUCGGGUUGUAAACCUCUUUCAGCAGGGACGAAGCGCAAGUGACGGUACCUGCAGAAGAAGCACCGGCUAACUACGUGCCAGCAGCCGCGGUAAUACGUAGGGUGCAAGCGUUGUCCGGAAUUACUGGGCGUAAAGAGUUCGUAGGCGGUUUGUCGCGUCGUUUGUGAAAACCAGCAGCACAACUGCUGGCUUGCAGGCGAUACGGGCAGACUUGAGUACUGCAGGGGAGACUGGAAUUCCUGGUGUAACGGUGAAAUGCGCAGAUAACAGGGGAGACACCGGUGGCGAAAGCGGGUCUCUGGGCAGUAACUGACGCUGAGGAACGAAAGCGUGGGUAGCGAACAGG
rnacentral:rRNA from 1 species